UCCGUCCAAGGCUAAAUA
rnacentral:snRNA from 1 species